CUCUCUCUCUCUCUCUCUCUCUCUCUCUGCAAGACCUCACUCCCAAACCCAUUGACUUUCUCUCUCUAUAUCUACACCCUUUUAUAUUAUUCUUCACACACACAUGAGUCGCUCAUUUUGGAAUUUCUCCCCGCUUUUUCAUUCACCGGUCUCAGAUUAGAUAACAACGAAUUUUUCAAGAAAAAAAAUAACCCAUUUUUUGAAACUAAAGCCACAUCCCACCCACCCCCCAAAGCUAAAGUCUUGAUUCUAAAGCCCUCUCCCUCUCUCUCUCUCUCUCUAGAUAUGCUUAUACCCACCACUACCACAGAACAAGGCCACGAACACCACCACAGACCCCCUUCACUUUAUGCUCUUUUUGUUCCUUUCCAGUCUUGAAAUUUGAUAAAUAAAGAGAAAACUGGAGAAUUUUUGAUUUUUUUUUUCAACCCCAUAAGUCGAUAAUCACUAGGUAUGGACCCUGGGGUUCUCGAUGGUAUAAUCAACAGAUUGCUUGAAGUGAGAGAGAAGCCAGGGAAGCAAGUUCAGCUCUCUGAGUCAGAGAUCAGACAGCUUUGUUUACAGUCCAAAGAUAUCUUCUUGCAACAGCCUAAUCUCUUAGACCUUGAGGCACCCAUCAAGAUCUGCGGAGAUAUCCAUGGUCAAUAUAGCGAUCUUCUAAGGCUUUUUGAAUACGGCAGGCUGCCUCCCAAAUCCAAUUAUUUAUUCUUGGGAGAUUAUGUGGACCGUGGAAAACAAAGCCUGGAAACAAUAUGCCUUCUCCUUGCAUACAAGAUAAAGUACCCUGAGAACUUUUUCCUUUUGAGGGGAAACCAUGAAUGUGCUUCUGUAAACCGUAUAUACGGAUUUUACGAUGAGUGCAAAAGAAGGUUUAAUGUCAGAGUGUGGAAAGUCUUCACAGAUUGUUUUAACUGCCUACCUGUGGCAGCUCUCAUUGAUGAAAAGAUACUGUGUAUGCAUGGAGGACUAUCUCCUGACCUUCAUAAUUUGGAUCAAAUCCGAAAUUUACAACGCCCAACUGAUGUUCCAGAAACUGGUCUACUGUGUGAUCUACUGUGGUCAGAUCCGAGUAAAGAUGUGAAGGGGUGGGGUAUGAAUGAUAGGGGAGUUUCCUAUACCUUUGGUGCUGAUAAGGUGACAGAGUUUCUUCUGAAGCAUGAUCUUGACCUAAUUUGUCGUGCUCACCAGGUGGUGGAAGAUGGUUAUGAAUUCUUUGCUGAUAGACAACUUGUGACUAUAUUUUCGGCUCCUAAUUACUGUGGAGAGUUCGAUAAUGCCGGUGCCAUGAUGAGCGUGGAUGAAACUUUGAUGUGUUCUUUCCAAAUUUUAAAGCCCGCAGACAAGAAGCCAAAGUUUGGCUUCGGAAGCACAACUACAGCUAAGACAGGAGCACCUUCAACAAAAAACAAGGAGGUCCUUCAAUGUUGUGCUUUUUUAGUCAUGGUUCUGAAGACUAUGGUUUCUUGGGGAUUGCAAGAUGAGAAGAAAAUUUCAGAGGAGCUAAUGGAAGCACAAAGACAAUAAAAAUAGUUGGACAAUUGAACUAAAAAAAAAAACUUUGCAACAUGCCGAUAUAUCAAUGCAACGACUGUGCAAUCAUGGAUCAGAUUGUCAUUUUGGUACAGACCAUACAUCGUUCCUUGGCGCAAAAGUAUGAUAAGGUAGUUCAUUUGAUCAAGAUUAAUGAAGCAAAGCUGUCUUUUAACUGCGCAUUCGGGUGAAAUAUCGUCAAAGGAUUUUGGUUAUUUCAUCUCAAGGGAAGUUAAGAAAGUUGGCUCUUUUCAGUGGAGAGAGAGAGAGUAUGUUCGUUCCUUUCUCUAUAAUAUAAGAAAUGAAGGCUGUGACUUUUGCUUUUGUGUAUUUCUUUUUCCUUGUUGCUCUUGCAUGUACAUUACAAGCUGCCACACCAAGGGAUAUGGAAUUGGUACUUGUACAAGAGAAUUGCUCAAUCCCCUGUUAUUGAAAUCUGUACUGUGUUCAGGAUU